rnacentral:lncRNA from 1 species
GAGACAAUGCAAAAUGAUAAUCAGAGUGAAUUAGUAAUUUGAUCUUGUAUCUGUCAAGGCUUGAUGGCUUUUACCUGCUCUAGAGGCUAGAAGGCAAUGUGCUGACCUCAUUGUGUUGAAAAAAAUUGAACACAUCGUGGUUGUCAAGGACAAGACAUUCUCAGUCAUAAGAACAAAGAGAGCAAGAAAGGCUAAUGAGGGAAGAGGCCAUACAACCCUGAAAAGUACACAGCCUCCUGCCCCUCUGCUCAGAAUCUGGGGUCAUGUUUGCAGCCACAGGUGCCACAUGCAGAAGUGUCAGAGGUGUGAAAACCAGAGCAACUCCAUCUUGAAUAGGAGCUGGGGAAAAAAA